rnacentral:rRNA from 1 species
UGGGGAAUUUUGCACAAUGGGGGAAACCCUGAUGCAGCGACGCCGCGUGAUUUAGAAGGCCUUCGGGUUGUAAAAAUCUUUUUUACGGGAUGAAAAUGACAGUACCGUAAGAAUAAGGUCCGGCUAAAUACGUGCCAGCAGCCGCGGUAAUACGUAUGGACCGAGCGUUGUCCGGAAUCAUUGGGCGUAAAGGGUACGUAGGCGGCCUAGUAAGUUAGAAGUUAAAGAAUAUAGCUCAACUAUAUAAAGCUUUUAAAACUGCUAGGCUUGAGAGAUGGAAGGGAAAGUGGAAUUCCUAGUAUAGCGGUGAAUUGCGCAGAUAUUAGAAAGAAUACCGGUGGCGAAGGCGACUUUCUGGUCAUCAUCUGACGCUGAGGUACGAAAGCGUGGGUAGCAAACAGG